UAAUGUGCUCGAAGCAGUAGUAGUAUCCAGUUUAGUUUAUCAUUGUUUGUAUACGCUAGUCCUAAUACACAUACAUAUAGUAACCUUAACAUGCAUCAGACACUGUUUCCUUGCCUGAGUUGAAUGAGCCUGGCGGAAAUUAUCAACAUCUCGCUUUUGUUUCAGGACUGUAUGCCACUGAGGAUAAAAGGAUUCUACGUCACAAACAACCCUACUUUAUUUGAUAUCUUGUUCGCAAUAGCCAAGCACUUUAUGAAAGCCAAGUUGGUCAGAAGGACUCACCUCUUCGGUACUGACUGGAAUAAGCUGCGCAGCCUGAUACCAGACGACAUCAUUCCCGAGGAAGGCGGCGGCAGGCUCGAAACCUACGACUAUGAUGCUAUGGAAAGAGACUUGAAGAGCCGGGCCGAAUACUUUAGGGAAAUGAGCAGCUGCGGCUACCUCGACAACUCGAAAGAAUGAA